rnacentral:rRNA from 1 species
AUUGAACGCUGGCGGCAUGCCUUACACAUGCAAGUCGAACGGCAGCACGGGAGCAAUCCUGGUGGCGAGUGGCGAACGGGUGAGUAAAGUAUCGGAACGUGCCCAGUCGUGGGGGAUAACGUCGCGAACGUUACGCUAAUACCGCAUACGAUCUAUGGAUGAAAGCGGGGGAUCGCAAGCCCUCGCGCGAUUGGAGCGGCCGAUAUCAGAUUAGGUAGUUGGUGGGGUAAAGGCUCACCAAGCCGACGAUCUGUAGCUGGUCUGAGAGGACGACCAGCCACACUGGGACUGAGACACGGCCCAGACUCCUACGGGAGGCAGCAGUGGGGAAUUUUGGACAAUGGGCGAAAGCCUGAUCCAGCCAUGCCGCGUGCAGGAUGAAGGCCUUCGGGUUGUAAACUGCUUUUGUACGGAACGAAAAGGUUUGGCCUAAUAAGCUGAGCUCAUGACGGUACCGUAAGAAUAAGCACCGGCUAACUACGUGCCAGCAGCCGCCGUAA